rnacentral:rRNA from 1 species
GCCGGAGGGGGCUAUCGUUGUUCGGAAUCACUGGGCGUAAAGGGCGCGUAGGCGGCCAAGUAAGUUAGAGGUGAAAGCCUGGGGCUUAACCUCAGAAUUGCCUUUAAUACUGCUUGGCUGGAGUUUGGUAGGGGAUAGUGGAAUUCCUAAUGUAGAGGUGAAAUUCGUAGAUAUUAGGAGGAACACCAGUGGCGAAGGCGACUGUCUGGGCCAAUACUGACGCUGAGGCGCGAAAGCGUGGGCAGAAAACUGG